GGAUUAGAGUUCGUCAGGGUCCCGAGCAGGGACGGGUUGGGCUCCUUCAGAUAACUGUCUUUGAAGGUGGACAACCUCGUCGGUCGCCAUCCUGAGCUUCCUCCUGUAGUCGUCCACCUGCUUGCACCAGUCGGCCCGGUAUGCAUUGUAGUUUGCCUCGGCAUCCUAGAGCUGUUGCUGAAGGUCUGAGAACUUCUUCGACCAUUCUCGAUUGUGGUCGGCCCG
rnacentral:lncRNA from 1 species